AUUGAACGCUGGCGGCAGGCCUAACACAUGCAAGUCGAACGCGUGGCGGACGGGUGAGUAAUGUCUGGGAACCUGCCUGAUGGAGGGGGAUAACUACUGGAAACGGUAGCUAAUCCCGCAUACCAUCGGAUGUGCCCAGAUGGGAUUAGCUAGUAGGUGGGGUAAAGGCUCACCUCGGCGACGAUCCCUAGCUGGUCUGAGAGGAUGACCAGCCAAACGGGAACGGAGACACGGUCCAGACUCCGACGGGAGGAAGCAGUGGGGAAUAUUGCACAAGGGGCGCAAGCCUGAUGCAGCCAUGCCGCGGGUAUGAAGAAGGCCUUCGGGUUGUAAAGUACUUUCAGCGGGGAGGCGUUACCCGCAGAAGAAGCACCGGCUAACUCCGUGCCAGCAGCCGCGGUAAUAC
rnacentral:rRNA from 1 species